GCAGUCGAGCGGUAAGGCCCCUUCGGGGGUACACGAGCGGCGAACGGGUGAGUAACGCGUGGGUAACCUACCCAGAAGUGGGGGAUAGCCCCGGGAAACCGGGGGUAAUACCGCAUGUACCACAGCCAACGCGAGUCGGUUGUGGAAAAGGCGGGGAUCCUUCGGGACCUGUCGCUUCUGGAUGGGCCCGCGUCCGAUUAGCUUGUUGGUGGGGUAACGGCCUACCAAGGCUGCGAUCGGUAGCCGGCCUGAGAGGGUGAACGGCCACAUUGGGACUGAGACACGGCCCAGACUCCUACGGGAGGCAGCAGUGGGGAAUUUUGGGCAAUGGGCGCAAGCCUGACCCAGCGACGCCGCGUGGAGGAUGAAGGCCUUCGGGUUGUAAACUCCUGUCAGGUGGGAAGAAAUGCCCGUCGGUGAAUAGCUGACGGGAGUUGACGGUACCACCAAAGGAAGCCCCGGCUAACUCCGUGCCAGCAGCC
rnacentral:rRNA from 1 species